AUUUAUAAUAUUUAUGGUAACAACAAACCAGAACUUGUUCAUUCAGGUUAAACUCAUAACAAGCUAUUUACAUUAAACUCGAGACAU